rnacentral:miRNA from 1 species
CCCGGUAGAAAGGGAAGAGCUGAGCGAUCUUCACCCUUGUUAGCUUGUGUUACAACGCCAAUAAGUCUGAUGCUCGCUUUUUCUCCUA